GGGCCGGCGUGUCUAUACAUGCAGUCGAGCGAACAGAUGAGAAGCUUGCUUCUCUGAUGUUAGCGGCGGACGGGUGAGUAACACGUGGGUAACCUACCUAUAAGACUGGGAUAACUCCGGGAAACCGGGGCUAAUACCGGAUAAUAUUUUGAACCGCAUGGUUCAAUAGUGAAAGACGGUUUCGGCUGUCACUUAUAGAUGGACCCGCGCCGUAUUAGCUAGUUGGUAAGGUAACGGCUUACCAAGGCGACGAUACGUAGCCGACCUGAGAGGGUGAUCGGCCACACUGGAACUGAGACACGGUCCAGACUCCUACGGGAGGCAGCAGUAGGGAAUCUUCCGCAAUGGGCGAAAGCCUGACGGAGCAACGCCGCGUGAGUGAUGAAGGUCUUCGGAUCGUAAAACUCUGUUGUUAGGGAAGAACAAAUUUGUUAGUAACUGAACAAGUCUUGACGGUACCUAACCAGAAAGCCACGGCUAACUACGUGCCAGCAGCCGCGGUAAUACGUAGGUGGCAAGCGUUAUCCGGAAUUAUUGGGCGUAAAGCGCGCGUAGGCGGUUUCUUAAGUCUGAUGUGAAAGCCCACGGCUCAACCGUGGAGGGUCAUUGGAAACUGGGAAACUUGAGUGCAGAAGAGGAGAGUGGAAUUCCAUGUGUAGCGGUGAAAUGCGCAGAGAUAUGGAGGAACACCAGUGGCGAAGGCGGCUCUCUGGUCUGUAACUGACGCUGAUGUGCGAAAGCGUGGGGAUCAAACAGGAUUAGAUACCCUGGUAGUCCACGCCGUAAACGAUGAGUGCUAAGUGUUAGGGGGUUUCCGCCCCUUAGUGCUGCAGCUAACGCAUUAAGCACUCCGCCUGGGGAGUACGACCGCAAGGUUGAAACUCAAAGGAAUUGACGGGGACCCGCACAAGCGGUGGAGCAUGUGGUUUAAUUCGAAGCAACGCGAAGAACCUUACCAAAUCUUGACAUCCUUUGACCGCUCUAGAGAUAGAGUCUUCCCCUUCGGGGGACAAAGUGACAGGUGGUGCAUGGUUGUCGUCAGCUCGUGUCGUGAGAUGUUGGGUUAAGUCCCGCAACGAGCGCAACCCUUAAGCUUAGUUGCCAUCAUUAAGUUGGGCACUCUAGGUUGACUGCCGGUGACAAACCGGAGGAAGGUGGGGAUGACGUCAAAUCAUCAUGCCCCUUAUGAUUUGGGCUACACACGUGCUACAAUGGAUAAUACAAAGGGCAGCGAAUCCGCGAGGCCAAGCAAAUCCCAUAAAAUUAUUCUCAGUUCGGAUUGUAGUCUGCAACUCGACUACAUGAAGCUGGAAUCGCUAGUAAUCGUAGAUCAGCAUGCUACGGUGAAUACGUUCCCGGGUCUUGUACACACCGCCCGUCACACCACGAGAGUUUGUAACACCCGAAGCCGGUGGAGUAACCUUUUAGGAGCUAGCCGUUCGGAAGGGGGG
rnacentral:rRNA from 1 species